CCUACGGGAGACUGCAGUCGAGAAUCAUUCACAAUGGGGGAAACCCUGAUGGUGCGACGCCGCGUGGGGGAAUGAAGGUCUUCGGAUUGUAAACCCCUGUCAUGUGGGAGCAAAUUAAAAAGAUAGUACCACAAGAGGAAGAGACGGCUAACUCUGUGCCAGCAGCCGCGGUAAUACAGAGGUGUCAAGCGUUGUUCGGAAUCACUGGGCGUAAAGGGUGCGUAGGCUGUUUCGUAAGUCUUGUGUGAAAGGCGUGGGCUCAACCCGCGGACGGCACAUGAUACUGGGAGACUAGAGUAAUGGAGGGGGAAUCGGAAUUCUGGGUGUAGCAGUGAAAUGCGUAGAUAUACAGAGGAACACUCGUGGCGAAGGCGGGUUCCUGGACAUUAACUGACGCUGAGGCACGAAGGCCAGGGGAGCGAAAGGGAUUAGAUACCCGUGUAGUC
rnacentral:rRNA from 1 species